UGUUAGAGUGACAGAGAAAGAGAUGUGGUUUGUUCCACCCUUCCUGACAGUGGAAGGAUAAGGAAAACACAGCAACAAAGAAUUAUGUGUAAAACAGUUGCCCAGAACUGAAAUGCUUUUUCUCCCAGCAGGGUGGGAGCUUAGCACAACAAUGAAGCUGCAAGAACAUAGCCUGGUUCAAUUUUUGAACACUGCAGAAGGCUACAAGGACACCUAAGCUGCAGAUAAACUUGCAAGUAGCUUCCAGAUUCUCCACACCAGUGAGAUAGAUGGAGCGGUGAAUCACUUGCUGCUAAAUACAAAGGGAAUAAACCAGAGAUUAAUUUGGAUGAACAAAGCAUGCAGUUGCAGAAUCAAGACAGCCUCAGCUUGAACUGAUCUGGAUCAUCUUUGAAACCAAUGGCGGGAACUAAAAAUCAAAAUAAUUACAUUAAACAAUGGAAGUAAUGAUCAAAAAUAUGAAGAUGUGUAAUUUCAUAAAUGCUUGAGCUGAAACGCAGGAAGUUUCUGGAGCCUCUGAAGAGGGAACAGUUCCCGUCAGUAACAUUACAUUCUUGCCUUCAACCUUGCAUCUUGAUAAACUGUCAUACAUAAUCACCACGUUUAUUAAAAUGUCUUGUUACAGAAAAAUCACUUAUCUUUUAGUGGAAUUAUGUGACUGAUCUCUCAAAGACCUUGCAGGUCUGAAAGCUGACAUUAUUCUGAAGUUCUAAUUAAGGAACAAAAAGCAAAAUGAGUAAGCUCUUCUUCGCAAGCAACCACUGCAGUUCCAGCAGCACUUCAUUUGCUGGAAACCUCCUCCACUUACCACUGCACUUUCAGAUGUUCACAGACCUACAGCCGUACCCACAUCUCCAGCUGCUGGACUUCCAGGCCAUGAGAUGCCAUGUGUUGGGCCUUAUGAUGGGAGAGUCCCUAACCCACCAGGGCUCAACUGACACAAAGAAAAUCAUCCAGACAAUGGAGAAGAAGGAAGAGUCAAGUCUAAGCAAUUUCAGGAAGCUUGUAUCCAGGACCUGCAGUAACAGCUGUCUGUAACACUCGGUACAUCAGAAUAGUAGUUCUGCUAGCCUUCUGCCCAAGAGCGCACAAAACACAGCUUUGUAUGCCUCUGUCUUUCUUGGCUUUGGCACACCUUAAAUUCUGUUUUCAGGUA